rnacentral:tRNA from 1 species
GGGGUUGUGGUUCAGCGAUAGAGUGCUCGCCUGGCACAUGUGCGAGAGACCCUGGGUUCAAUCCUCAGCACCACA